UUGCAUCGGGACACCAGCUAAAAUGUGCCAAUGUGCAUCAGGAUAUUCUUGCCAGUGUCCCAUAACUCAUUGUUGCAAUUCACCAACAGGGUUUCUUAGCACCUUUAUACAAGGUACAUAACAUACAUAACAGAGGAUUCUGGCCCUGCUUUGCAAUGUUAACAACUGGUAUUUCUUCAUGCUUUGCAACACGUUAAAUUACCUGAAAAACAUAGCUUUUGAAAGUCUGAAGGAAGGAGAACAUUAAAGACCUUCUUCACCGGCAUGUUUAGUAGCUGGGCAAAUUCACAGUUUCCUGAUUUCCAAAUUUACCUUCUCUUGGAAUGUGAUCAAUGUGAUCUACUCUCUCUUAGGGCAGUAGGCAAAUAACAUCCAUCACCUAAGCUGGCCUCAUUAUCUCUUGAUUCAUUGGCUUUCUAUAAACAUUAUCCCCAAUUGUCAGCUGUGUGCUGAAAAAAAGGAAAGAUGUUUUGGCAUGCACGCAUGCAUGUCCGAUGACGUGUAAGCUAGGGUUGCUAUAGCAAUCACAGUGAUUUUUAGAAUCAAGUGGGAAGGAGAACUGGGAAACACCCACCCACUCACACACCUCUAUAAGUACUGGUGUAAAACGACAGAUUUCUACUAGGCAGCAUUGUGUAACAAUGUUCAGCCCCACAGGGUCAGAAGUAGGAGCACAGAGUUCUGAUGCGUCUGAUACUGAUCCUCUUUCUUGUAUUUCAGACUCUCUGUUGGUCAUUCAGAUCAGAGCAGGAGGGUGUCUUAUUAUAUCAUGGAACCAAGGUGGAAUCGAUGGAAGAGGAAAAUGUAAUAAAAAGCACAGUGUGAAGAAUUUACAUUCAGAGAUGCUACAUGAAAAUGAGCCAGCUCCUCUUGGCAGAAUGGCCAUGGUGCAAUUAUCUGUUAAAAAACUAGUCUUCUUCUGCCUAGAAAAAUAAAUAAUCUUGUGCAGUUCUAAAGUAAAACGAGGAAGCAGAAAAGACCACAUCAUUUUGCAUUGUUGCCCUUACCUUUGCAAUUUGAACCACACUGACAAGAGGAAUGACCUCAUGCUCCUCAUGGUCACUACACUGUGUAUCAAGGGCUCUAAGUGGAACGCAGCAAGUAAUACACCAUUCCCUGCCAGCUUUCCACUGCUGAAACUGAAGCCUUCUUGCUGUAAUUCUAGACAGCUGCUUUUUCCGAGAGCAGCAUGCCUGUGAUGACCCAGAGGAACGAAUAUAUCCUGGCAUCA